rnacentral:rRNA from 1 species
AGAGUUUGAUCAUGGCUCAGAGCGAAGCGGCGUUAACACAUGCAAGUCGAGUGCGCGUCUGUAGCAAUACAGAUGGNNNACGGCGCACGGGUGCGUAACACGUGGGUAAUCUGCCCUUCGAUGGGGAAUAACUCGCCGAAAGCGAGCUAAUUCCGCAUAACAUUCCUUGAACUUCGGUUUGGGGACUCAAAGCCGUAAGGCGUCGGAGGGAGGAACCCGCGCACGAUUAGCUAGUUGGUAGGGUAACGGCCUACCAAGGCUUUGAUCGUUAGCUGGUCUGAGAGGAUGNNCAGCCACACUGGAACUGAGACACGGUCCAGACUCCUACGGGAGGCAGCAGUGGGGAAUCUUGCACAAUGGGCGAAAGCCUGAUGCAGCGACGCCGCGUGGGGGAUGAAGCUUUUCGGAGUGUAAACCCCUUUCGACCCGGACGAAUGCCCCGCAAGGGGACUGACGGUACGGGUAUAAGAAGCCCCGGCUAACUACGUGCCAGCAGCCGCGGUAAGACGUGGGGGGCCAGCGUUGCUCGGAAUUACUGGGUGUAAAGGGUUCGUAGGCGGUGUGGCAAGUCGGGAGUGAAAUCUCUGGGCUUAACUCAGAGACUGCUUCCGAAACUGCUGUGCUUGAGUGUGGGAGAGGCGCGUGGAAUUGCAGGUGUAGCGGUGAAAUGCGUAGAUAUCUGCAGGAACACCCGUGGCGANNNCGGCGCGCUGGACCACUACUGACGCUGAGGAACGAAAGCUAGGGGAGCAAACAGGAUUAGAUACCCUAGUAGUCC